AACGAACGCUGGCGGCGUGCUUAACACACGCAAGUCGAACGUGAAAGGCUUCGGCCGAGUAAAGUGGCGCACGGGUGAGUAACGCGUGGGUAAUCUGCCCUUGGGCGGGGGAUAACCUCUCGAAAGGGGGGCUAAUACCGCAUGAGACCACGGCUUUUCGAGGCUGUGGGAAAAGGUGGGUCGCAAGGCCUGCCACCUGAGGAUGAGCCCGCGUACCAUUAGGUUGUUGGUGGGGUAAUGGCCUACCAAGCCGAAGAUGGUUAGCUGGUCUGAGAGGACGAUCAGCCACACUGGGACUGAGACACGGCCCAGACUCCUACGGGAGGCAGCAGUGGGGAAUAUUGCGCAAUGGGAGAAACCCUGACGCAGCAACGCCGCGUGUGUGAAGAAGGCCU
rnacentral:rRNA from 1 species